UACGAAGGGGGCUAGCGUUGCUCGGAAUUACUGGGCGUAAAGGGCGCGUAGGCGGUUCUAUAAGUCAGGCGUGAAAUUCCUGGGCUUAACCUGGGGGCUGCGCUUGAGACUGUGGGACUUGAGGUCAGAAGAGGGUCGUGGAAUUCCCGGUGUAGUGGUGAAAUGCGUAGAUAUCGGGAGGAACACCAGUGGCGAAGGCGACUACCUGGCCUGUUCUUGACGCUGAGGCGCGAAAGCUAGGGGAGCAAACGGG
rnacentral:rRNA from 1 species